rnacentral:rRNA from 1 species
CCUACGGGUGGCAGCAAUGAGGAAUAUUGGUCAAUGGACGCAAGUCUGAACCAGCCAUGCCGCGUGCAGGAAGACGGCUCUAUGAGUUGUAAACUGCUUUUGUACGAGGGUAAACGCAGAUACGUGUAUCUGUCUGAAAGUAUCGUACGAAUAAGGAUCGGCUAACUCCGUGCCAGCAGCCGCGGUAAUACGGAGGAUUCAAGCGUUAUCCGGAUUUAUUGGGUUUAAAGGGUGCGUAGGCGGUCGGAUAAGUUAGAGGUGAAAUCCCGAGGCUCAACUUCGGAAUUGCCUCUGAUACUGUGCGGCUAGAGAGUAGUUGCGGUAGGCGGAAUGUAUGGUGUAGCGGUGAAAUGCUUAGAGAUCAUACAGAACACCGAUUGCGAAGGCAGCUUACCAAGCUACUUCUGACGUGGAGGCACGAAAGCGUGGGGAGCAAACAGGAUUAGAUACCCCAGUAGUC